rnacentral:rRNA from 1 species
UUAAAUGGCCGCAGUAAUUUGACUGUGCAAAGGUAGCAUAAUCAUUAGUUUUUUAAUUAAAAGCUUGUAUGAAAGGUUGGACGAAGUAAAUACUGUCUCUAUUUAAUUUACUUUAGAAUUUAAUUUUUAAGUUAAAAAGCUUAAAUUUUUAUAAAAGACGAGAAGACCCUAUAGAGCUUUAUAAAUUUAAUAUUAAAAUAAAUUUGGAUAUAUUUAUAUUUUAAUAUUAAAUUUAUUUUAUUGGGGUAAUAUAAAGAUUAAUAUAAUUCUUUUUUAAUAUAUAUAUUGAUAUAUAGAUUAUUGAUCCAUUAUUAUUGAUUAUAAGAUUAAGUUACCUUAGGGAUAACAGCGUAAUUUUUUUUGAGAGUUCUUAUCGAUAAAAAAGUUUGCGACCUCGAUGUUGGAUUAAAGAUUAGUUUAGGUGUAGAAGUUUAAAUUUUUGGUCUGUUCGACCAUUAAAUCUUUACAUGAUCUGAGUUCAGACCGGUUUAAGCCAGGUCGGUUUCUAUCUUUAUUAAAUUAGAAUAUUUUAGUACGAAAGGACCAAAUAUUUAAUAUAUUAAUAUUUAAAAUUUUGAAUAUUAUUAAUUAUUUUGGCAGAUUAGUGCAAUGAAUUUAGAAUUCAUUUAUGUAAAUUUUUACAAAUAAUACUUGUAUUUUUUGGAUUUAUUGUUAUCUUUUAUUUUUAUAUUGUUAUUAAUUAUUUGUGUAUUGGU